rnacentral:rRNA from 1 species
GACGAACGCUGGCGGCGUGCCUAAUACAUGCAAGUCGAGCGCUGAGGGCUGGUACUUGUCCCGACUGGGUGAGCCGCGAACGGGUGAGUAACGCGUGGGGAAUCUGCCUUUGAGCGGGGGACAACAUUUGGAAACGAAUGCUAAUACCGCAUAAAAACUUUAAACACAAGUUUUAAGUUUGAAAGAUGCAAUUGCAUCACUCAAAGAUGAUCCCGCGUUGUAUUAGCUAGGUGGUGAGGUAAAAGCUCAUCAAGGCGGGGUUACAUAGCCGACCUGAGUGGGUGGGCGGCCGGAGUGGGAGUGAGACACGGCCCAAUGGCCCAGGGGAGGCGGCAAGAGGGAAUCGGGGGGAAUGGGCGAGAGUCUUACCGAGAAACGCCGCGGGAGUAAAGAAGGUUGUCGCGUCGUAAAACUCUGUUGGUGGGGAAGAACGUUGGUGAGAGUGUAAAGCUCAUUAAGUGACGGUAACUACCCAGAAAGGGACGGCUAACUACGUG